rnacentral:rRNA from 1 species
UACAGAGGGUGCAAGCGUUGUUCGGAAUUACUGGGCGUAAAGCGCACGUAGGCGGCUUUGUAAGUCAGAGGUGAAAGCCCGGAGCUUAACUCCGGAAUUGCCUUUGAGACUGCAUCGCUUGAAUCCAGGAGAGGUGAGUGGAAUUCCGAGUGUAGAGGUGAAAUUCGUAGAUAUUCGGAAGAACACCAGUGGCGAAGGCGGCUCACUGGACUGGUAUUGACGCUGAGGUGCGAAAGCGUGGGGAGCAAACAGG